AUGAGAGAGAGCUAGCAGGGCAGAAGUCACGCUCACACAUAAUCAUGGAAGUGACAUUCAUCACUUCUGAUGUCUUCUAUCGUCAGAGCAAGUCCCCACAUCGGCAUUCCCACACAAGGAGAGAGAAUUAUGCAAGUGCAUGAAUAUUAAAAGGUGGAGUAAAAAUUAGCAAGAAAGAAGAGAAACCUUCAAGUCCUCAUACCUUAAGUGAGUUGGUCUGGAAUAUAUUCCCACUUUUUGGCACUGGCCCAAAUCCUACACACUCUUCAAAAUCCCCCUCAAACUUCCUGAAGAAAGACUGCACACACCAGUCCCCUUCUCCCGGCUCCUUCGCACCUUCUUGGAACACUGCGUUACAAAUGUUUGCUCUGUCACCCGGAAGGAUCCAUGAACUGCUGAAGGCAGCACAGUGCGAAGCGCUUGGGGCAGCUUUGCGUGUUUCUCCUGUCCUACAAUGCUGGGAAGAAUAGUUGAAGCUUAUACUCUAAGCAUGUGACACUCCCCAGAGGAUAGAAAUACAGUCUGCAGCACAGUGCCAAAUAGCAUUGGUCUUGUAUCAGAAAACUCGGCUGUCUUGACGUCACUGUUUACCAAAUGUCAACUCAGCCAAAGUUCACAAGCUGAUGACAUGGAGAGGUGAUCUGAAGAAGAAAAAGGAGUACUCCAGAACAAGACCCUGUGAAAGGGUAAAGACCAGAUUUAUCAUUCAAGUCAUCAGUCCCAGGGAAUUCCCUGAAUAACCUGUCAUUAGCUUGAUUUCUCUGCCAUCCAACAACAUAUGAAGCUUAGGACUCGUCUCCAUAAUUAUCUGCAAGAAAGAAGGAUGCAUUUUCAUGGCCAGAAAUUAAUCAUUUUUAAACAGCUUUAUUGUGGUAUAAUUGACAUACAAUAAAUUAUACAUGCUUAAAUUGUACAGUUUAAGUUUUGGCAUAUAUAGGCAUCUGUUAAACUAUCACCACAAUCAAUAUAAUAAACAUCUCUAUCAGACCCCAAAGUUUCUCAUGUUCCCUUGUAAUGCUUCCCUCAUGCCCCACCUUCCAUAUCCCUUAAUCCUCAUCCCUAAGCAACCACUGGUCUGUUUUCUGAUAGUAGAGUUUGCACUUUCUAGAUUCUUAUACAGACAUGAUCAUAUGGUAUGUACUCUUUUUCAUCUGUUUUCUUUCACUCAGCAUAAUUCUUUUGAGAUCCACCCACGUUGUUAUACACAUGUAUCAAUAGUUAUUUUUUCAGCACAGUAUUCCAUUUUAUGGAUAUAGUACAAUUAACCUUUU